rnacentral:misc_RNA from 1 species
GAUGAAGAACGUAGCGAAAUGCGAUAAGUAAUGUGAAUUGCAGAAUUCAGUGAAUCAUCGAAUCUUUGAACGCAUAUUGCGCCCGCCAGUAUUCUGGCGGGCAUGCCUGUUCGAGCGUCAUUACAACCCUCAGGCCCCCGGGCCUGGCGUUGGGGAUCGGCGGAGCCCCCCGUGGGCACACGCCGUCCCCCAAAUACAGUGGCGGUCCCGCCGCAGCUUCCAUCGCGUAGUAGCUAACACCUCGCGACUGGAGAGCGGCGCGGCCACGCCGUAAAACACCCAACUCUUCUGAAGUUGACCUCGAAUCAGGUAGGAAUACCCGCUGAACUUAAGCAUAUCAAUAAGCGGAGGA